UGAAGCCAUAUGAAUCCGAAGUAUUCAAGGGUGCGCGUUGAGAAAUUAAGUAUUUGACUACUUGAAUCUUUCCAACAGCUGCGGCUCUAUGCAAUGGUGUUUGGCCUUGAAGAUCCUUUUUCCUAAUAAGUUCUGGGGCCUUAUCACAUAAUAAUUGAACAAUAGAAAGACGACCUUUUCCAGCGGCAUAAUGCAAACAUGUUUGACCACCGCGAGUCGUUAUGGUUGGAUCAACGUCGGAACGGUUUAUUAGUUCUUCUAUUACAUUAUCAGGUACUGAGCGAUUAUUUAUAGAGAUCAUUAAAGGCGUCCAUCCUGCCUCAUCUUUUUCGUCCGGCUUGAUAUUGGGUUGCUUUAACAAGAAAUAAAUGGUAUUAACUUUACCAACAGAGCAGGCCCAAUGG